AGAGUUUGAUCCUGGCUCAGGAUGAACGCUAGCGGCAGGCCUCAUACAUGCAAGUCGAGGGGCAACAUGACACUUCGGUGUUGAUGGCGACCGGCGAACGGGUGCGUAACGCGUAUGUAACCUACCUUGUACAGGAGGAUAGCUUCUGGAAACGGGAAUUAAUACUCCAUAUUGUCUUUUUAUCAUAAGAUGAAAAGAUGAAAGCUCCGGCGGUACAAGAUGGGCAUGCGUCCUAUUAGCUAGUUGGUAAGGUAACGGCUUACCAAGGCGACGAUAGGUAGGGGUUCUGAGAGGAUGAUCCCCCACACUGGCACUGAGAUACGGGCCAGACUCCUACGGGAGGCAGCAGUAGGGAAUAUUGGACAAUGGGCGCAAGCCUGAUCCAGCCAUGCCGCGUGCAGGAUGACGGUCCUAUGGAUUGUAAACUGCUUUUGUACAGGAAAAAUAAGUCCUUGCGAGGACCUAUGAUGGUACUGUAAGAAUAAGCACCGGCUAACUCCGUGCCAGCAGCCGCGGUAAGACGGAGGGUGCAAGCGUUAUCCGGAUUCACUGGGUUUAAAGGGUACGUAGGCGGUCUUGUAAGUCGAUGGUGAAAUCUAGCAGCUCAACUGCUAACGUGCCAUCGAUACUGCUUGACUUGAGUAUAGUCGAGGUGGGCGGAAUUCUACAUGUAGCGGUGAAAUGCAUAGAUAUGUAGAGGAACACCAAUAGCGAAGGCAGCUCACUAGGCUAUUACUGACGCUGAGGUACGAAAGCGUGGGGAGCAAACAGGAUUAGAUACCCUGGUAGUCCACGCCGUAAACGAUGGUCACUCGAUAUAUGCCCCUGAGGGUGUGUGUCCAAGCGAAAGCAUUAAGUGACCCACCUGGGUAGUACGCUCGCAAGAGUGAAACUUAAAGGAAUUGACGGGGAUCCGCACAAGCGGUGGAACAUGUGGUUUAAUUCGAUAGUACGCGAGAAACCUUACCUAGGCUAAAUCUGUAUCGCUACACCAAGAGAUUGGUGGUUCCGCAAGGACGGUAUAGAAGGUGCUGCAUGGCUGUCGUCAGCUCGUGCCGUGAGGUGUUGGGGUAAGUCCUAUAACGAGCGCAACCCCUAUGCUUAGUUGCCAGCACGUAAUGGUGGGAACUCUAAGCAGACUGCCUGCGAAAGCAGUGAGGAAGGAGGGGAUGAGGUCAAGUCAUCAUGGCUCUUACGCCUAGGGCUACACACGUGCUACAAUGGCGUGUACAACGGGUCGCUACCUGGUAACAGGAUGCUAAUCCCUUAAAGCACGUCUCAGUUCGGAUUGAGGUCUGCAACUCGACCUCAUGAAGCUGGAAUCGCUAGUAAUCGCGUAUCAGCAUGGCGCGGUGAAUACGUUCUCGGACCUUGUACACACUGCCCGUCAAGCCAUGGAAGUCGGAAGGACCUGAAGACGGUUUCUGUCAAAAGGACUGUUUAGGGUUAAGUCGAUAACUAGGGCUAAGUCGUAACAAGGUAACC
rnacentral:rRNA from 1 species